rnacentral:rRNA from 1 species
UACAGAGGUCUCAAGCGUUGUUCGGAGUCACUGGGCGUAAAGGGUGUGUAGGCGGUUCUUUAAGUUUGGUGUGAAAUCUCCCGGCUCAACUGGGAGGGUGCGCCGAAUACUGAGGGACUAGAGUACGGGAGAGGAAAGUGGAAUUCCUGGUGUAGCGGUGAAAUGCGUAGAUAUCAGGAGGAACACCGGUGGUGAAGACGGCUUUCUGGACCGACACUGACGCUGAAACACGAAAGCGUGGGUAGCAAACAGG